rnacentral:lncRNA from 1 species
AAACUCUGUUGUGUUCUUGCUGUCCUGAGGCCGGGCUGUGUGUGUUCCCUGGAGCCUGUCUUCUGUGUGUGCAGGGUUUCUAUCAGCCUCUAGCAGGACAGCAGGGCUGUCUGCCCUGUUUAUCUGGGUUUUACAGCAAUUCCACUGGAAGCCCCGUCUGCCAGCCGUGUCCUACUGGGUCCUACAGCAAUAACACGGGCUCUGCCUCCUGUACAGCCUGUGCACCAGGUAACAAGUGACAUGCAUACAUAUGUAAAUUCAUUCAUUCAUUCAUUCUGCUUUCCUACCUAAAUAAAUUGACAUAUUGAGAGGUGGAGAAAAAACAAACGCAAAUGCAACUAUUGAAAUACUGAGGGGAAAUAAGAAUUUAGAUUCAUUUAGAAUUUUUUAUUAAAAUACAUAAAAGUGUAUCAUUGUAUAUUUCACUGGAAUCAUUAAAAAUUAUUCUUUAUUACAUAAAAGUACAUGUAUCUAUGAAAAAUAAAAAGCAUAAGUAUUAUAUACCUUAUAGUACAGUUAUGAGAUGUAAAAUGUUAUCUGAAAUUAAACAUUUAAUAAAGCAUACAAAAUAUAUUGUACUGUUUCUUUUCUUCUCUUUGCAAAAUUCAACAUCAUGUAACCCAUGUCCACAAGGCAUGUACUGCAAGUAAGUCCUUUUCUGAACACUGCACCAUAAAUAAAUACAUCACAGACUUUGAGUAAUAUACACUUUUAUUUUUAUUUAUGUGUACUUAUUACAUUUUUAUUAGAUUUGUAAUUAAAAAAAAUUCAACUUUGGAUAUUUAAUAAUAUUUAGUUUUGUUCUUGUUUUUAUUUUAAGGAAUCAGUACAAUAUCUUGAUAUUUACAGAUUAAAUGCUUUGAUGUGUUUACAUAAAGGUUAAAUUAUAUGGCUAUUAAAAUGAACCAUCUCCAUUCAUAGACUUGAUGACAUUCUCUCAAAUUUCAGUGCUGUGCUUUGUUUUCCUAAUAUGUUAGUCGUCACAGCGGCGUCAUUGCAGUGCCACAGAACUGACAGAUUUCUUUGUUACAAUUCUUCUUUCUGCCCCUUUGAUAGUUCCUCCAGCUGUACUCAGUGUCAGGUCUGUCCUGCAGGCUCAGAGGCUCUACAGACCGCUUCCAAAGAAUGCACACCUUGUCGCCCAGGAAUGCACAAGCCUGCCCAUCAAAUCAUUUGUCAGAUUUGCAGCAGGGGUUUCUAUCAGAUCCACUGGGGCCAGGAGAACUGUGACCGGUGUCCUGAAAACCACUACUGCCCUAGUCCUGAUGUAAAUCCGAUCGAGUGUCCCAGUGAUGCGUUCUGUCCCGAGGGCAGCACGGCCCCUGGUUACUGCAUGGAGACCUUCUUCAGAAAGGCAGGGGAGACGUGUGAACUUUCUCCUGUUACCAUUGCACUGCUUGUUAUUGGAGGAGGAGUGGGUCUUCUCUUCAUCAUUAUUUUGGUUCUGCGGAGGAGAAGAGAUAAUGACAGCGAGCUUUCCCUUGCCCGGACCCCCCUCCUGCGUAAAAGACCGCCCACGUGGUCGCUUCUAUGGAAUCCCUUGUGAUGCUGAGCCUGUUUAUGCAGGCUGGUGACGUCACAUGACCAUGUACAUACCUCACAGAUUUUGUCUGAAAGUUUCUAUUUAGAACUUUGAACUGUUGUAAGCUUUAUAUUGGUAAGAUACUAUUAAAUAUUUAAUGAAUGAAGACGCACUUUUCUGCAUUCCAUUUUUAAAACCUGUUUACUACUGACCGUGUUGUGAAGUUACAUCUCUUUUGAUUCCGCCUGCUUUUCUUGUAUUUAAUGUGAUGCGUCUCAUUAAUUUUAAAACAGAAUAUUUUAGACAAUUUCCAAGGUUGUAAACUGCAAUAAACAGCUUUUCACAACUUUGAUAUAAAAGUGUGGUGUCUCUAUGAAAGAUUGAUGGGUUAUUCCUGAAACUUUCCUUCAGAAAUCCCCAACAUGUGCUUUCAGUAUCUGAACUGUCAUAAGACAAAUCCAGUUUUAUUGAUCAUACUUUAAUAAAAAAAAACUUUAAUUACAAAAAUAUAUUUUAAUAAUAAAAUUCACAUUGUUAAAAAAAUGGUUUAAUCUCUUAUUGCAUAAUUCUAUAAAAUAUAUUUUUUUAAAUAUAUAAGCCAUAGAAGGUAUAGUAAUGCUGCUGCAUGCAUACCAGUAAGGUUUCAGUACUAUGGCAGGCAGAAUUGAAAUAAAACUGGUUUGACUAUCCAUAAUACUUACAAUUGUAUUUUGACAAGACAUCAUUAUAAUUUGAUUAGUAAGAGUAGUAAAUAAAGAUAUUUGCAAUUAUAAUUGGACAAGUAAGAAAUCUGAUUAGAGAUAUCUCUAAAAACUUUAAAUAAAUUAGUGUGUAGAUUGAGUGUUCUCUGCAUACCUUACGUCAUUAAUUUUAAAACAGAAUAUUUUAGACAAUUUCCAAGGUUGUAAACUGCAAUAAACAGCUUUUCACAACUUUGAUAUAAAAGUGUGGUGUCUCUAUGAAAGAUUGAUGGGUUAUUCCUGAAACUUUCCUUCAGAAAUCCCCAACAUGUGCUUUCAGUAUCUGAACUGUCAUAAGACAAAUCCAGUUUUAUGAUCAUACUUUAAAUAAAAAAAAAACUUUAUUACAAAAAA